ensembl:piRNA 21ur-6511 ncRNA
UGAUGAUGAUAAAAAACACCA